AUGACAACAAUUUUGCUGGAAAAAAUCAGAGCCAGGGUAGGAGUGAGAGAUUUUGAAAAAAUUCCUACACAUACUGAAGUAACUGACAAAGACCUCAUGAUAUACAAAGUCACCUUGGAACUUGAAAAAGUGGUGGAACAGGGGUGGUAUGAAGAUAAGAGGAAACAUGUGGAUGUUGAAACAGACAGAGAAUGUGAAACUGCAGACAUGAGGAAAAAGAUCAAGAUUGGUGGAGUAGAUGCUGAAGGAAACAAAGAAAACAUCUCCCUGGAGAGAAAAAUGACUCUGAUAAAGAUAAUAUUCAAGAUCCUCUGA
rnacentral:rRNA from 1 species